ACGAACGCUGGCGGCGUGCCUAAUACAUGCAAGUUGAGCGCUGAAGGUUGGUACUUGUACCGACUGGAUGAGCAGCGAACGGGUGAGUAACGCGUGGGGAAUCUGCCUUUGAGCGGGGGACAACAUUUGGAAACGAAUGCUAAUACCGCAUAAAAACUUUAAACACAAGUUUUAAGUUUGAAAGAUGCAAUUGCAUCACUCAAAGAUGAUCCCGCGUUGUAUUAGCUAGUUGGUGAGGUAAAGGCUAACCAAGGCGAUGAUACAUAGCCGACCUGAGAGGGUGAUCGGCCACAUUGGGACUGAGACACGGCCCAAACUCCUACGGGAGGCAGCAGUAGGGAAUCUUCGGCAAUGGACGAAAGUCUGACCGAGCAACGCCGCGUGAGUGAAGAAGGUUUUCGGAUCGUAAAGCUCUGUUGGUAGAGAAGAACGUUGGUGAGAGUGGAAAGCUCAUCAAGUGACGGUAACUACCCAGAAAGGGACGGCUAACUACGUG
rnacentral:rRNA from 1 species